rnacentral:tRNA from 1 species
GGGCCGGUGGUCUAGCCCGGUUAUGACGUCGCCUUUAUACGGCGAAAGUCAGCUCAAUUAUGCCGAGAUA